AAAGUAUCGUUGGCUGACUCAAAU
rnacentral:miRNA from 1 species